GUGCCAGCAGCCGCGGUAAUACGAAGGGGUCUAGCGUUGCUCGGAAUCACUGGGCGUAAAGGGUGCGUAGGCGGGUCUUUAAGUCAGGGGUGAAAUCUGGAGCUCAACUCCAGAACUGCUUUUGAUACUGAAGAUCUUGAGUUCGGGAGAGGUGAGUGGAACUGCGAGUGUAGAGGUGAAAUUCGUAGAUAUUCGCAAGAACACCAGUGGCGAAGGCGGCUCACUGGCCCGAUACUGACGCUGAGGCACGAAAGCGUGGGGAGCAAACAGGAUUAGAU
rnacentral:rRNA from 1 species